rnacentral:rRNA from 1 species
UACGUAGGGUGCGAGCGUUAAUCGGAAUUACUGGGCGUAAAGCGUGCGCAGGCGGUGAUGUAAGACAGGUGUGAAAUCCCCGGGCUUAACCUGGGAACUGCAUUUGUGACUGCAUCGCUGGAGUGCGGCAGAGGGGGAUGGAAUUCCGCGUGUAGCAGUGAAAUGCGUAGAUAUGCGGAGGAGCACCGAUGGCGAAGGCAAUCCCCUGGGCCUGCACUGACGCUCAUGCACGAAAGCGUGGGGAGCAAACAGG